rnacentral:lncRNA from 1 species
UUGGACGGGAAACACAUUAUCCGUACUCUGCAGGGUCGAAGAGGAAACAAUGGACCAUUUAUUCAUGCAAUACGUAUUUAGUAGAUUUCUGAUUGUGAUGAAUUUGGAGGGGAUUCAGUUGAGGGAUUUAGAGGAUGAUGUGAGAUUUGUCUGGGAGAGGUGGAUGGUAAGGAACAGUGUAAUGCCGACUUGAAUUAGAUUGAUAGGUCUGCCUACUUACUGGUGGUUAAUCUGGAACGUAAGGAAAGUGUUAUUUUUAGAAUGGCUAAGCUGACCUAUUUUUGGUGGUUGACAAGAUCAAGCGAUUGGUGUUCGAGCGGGAGGAAUUUUUGUCAUCUAAUCGUCAUCUGUCUUAAAUUUUUUUCCACUUUAUUGUUUAUUUACGUUUUGACUGAGAUCUAUUACCUCACCCUUGUUCCUUAAUUCAUUCCUUUAAUGAAUGAAGCAGGUAGUAUGCUACCUUUUUCUCAAAAAAGAAAAAACUUGAGGUUGUCAUCACCUGCAUAAAGUUUAAAUUAAUCUUUGAUAAAGAAAUUACAUAUUUAUGCUCGUAACUUUGCUCUCAAAAGAGGGGUUAUAAUGUCAUAUAAAGCAUAUGCACAAAUAAUGAGAAAUACGUAUGCUCAUUAUUUUUCUUUCAAAGGAGGUAUUGUAAUGUCAUAUAAAGUGUAUUUUUCUAACUUUGGUGUGAUAAUAUUUGAAUGUGGUAUUUUAUUAAGGGAAACUUCAAAAACCCCCCUUGUGGUUUCGUAGUUUCUCACUUUGCCCCCCUGUGGUUUAAAGUGUAUCAAUUUGCCCCCUUGUAGUUUCAUUUUUAUCUUUUCAGUAGCUUUUUCAUUAAUAUUUUAUUAAAUUAUAUACAAAAAAAACUUCAGAUACCCAUCUAGAUUUAUCAAAUAUUCACUGUAGUACCCUUUAAUUUUAACCUUAUCACUGAUUUAAGAAAAAAAAAAUAAUGAAAUUGAUAAGAAAAAAGAAAAAAAGAAACCACAGGGGGGCAAAUUAAUACAUUUUAAACCACAGGGGGGGAAAGUGAGAAACUACGAAACCACAGGGAGGGAUUUUGAAGUUUUCCUUUUUAUUAAUAAUAAAAUAUGCAUUUAUUUUAUUUUUUAGCUAUGACUUCAUCCAUUAUUUUUACUGGUGAUUCUAUUCCUAUGCUUAAUGGUUCUAAUUAUUCGGAUGGAAAGAACAGAUCAUGCUUACAUUAGAGUGUAUGGAUCUCGAUUUGGCUUUAAGAUAAAAGUAUGCCAACCCAAACAGUAUUUUCAGAAAAGUGGGAGCGUUCUAAUCGGCUUAGUUUAAUGCUGAUGAAAGCACUUGUCGGUAAAAAUAUUCGGAAUUCAAUUCCAAAAUGUGAGAUAGCCUAAGAUUUUUUGAAUGCUAUGGAGCAGUAAUUUGUAAGCUCUAGUAAAGUUUUGGCGAGCACCCCAAUGAAUAAAUUGUCUUCCAUGAAGUACUCCGGUAAAGGUUCAAUUCGUGAGCAUAUUAUGAAAAUGCGAGAUAUUGCGGUACAGCUCACUGCACUUGAAGUAACCAUUUUUGAUUCAUUUUUAGUGCACUUUAUUUUUAGACGUAUUUGGUUCAGGUUAUCCUGUUAGGAUUCCAAACAAUUCUGCCAAAAUUACUGCGUUUGGUUCAUCCAGUUUGUAAUGUAGUUAGUAAUGUAGUAAUACAAAUGGUGCAAGAUUACUCGAAAAAUAGGGUUAAUUACACCAGUAGUCCCCAACCUUUGCACCAAUUUUCACUUGGAUCCCCAACAUUUUUUUUUUUGCAAUUGAGUCCCUAAUCUUCUGAUUUUAUUAUAAUUAUGUCCCAACCGUUAAAAAACUAUUAAAAUUAACGGAAUCGCCACGUUAGCUCCUAUUUGGCAUCAUUUUGCAUUUUAAUUUAGGUCCCUAAAGUUUGCACGUUUUCACUUUAGUCCCUAAAAAUAAAAAUUCAAAAUUUUAAAUUUAAAUUCAAAAUUAAUAUUAAACUAAAAUUUUAAACUAACGAGAAAUUAGAAUUUUGAAUUUGAAUUUAAAGCUGAAUUAAAAUUUAGAAUUGAAAUUCAAAUUUUAAAUUUAAAUUUUUAAUUGAAUCUAAAUUUUGAAUUCAAACUUAAAAUUUUGAUUUUGAUUUUGAUAUUUCAAUUUACAUUUAAAAUGUAAGUUUUGAAAAUGAAAUUUAAAUUUAAAAUUUGAAUUUAAAGUUAAAAUCAUAUUCAAAAUUUUUAUUUUAAAUUUUAAAUUUGAAUUCAAAAUUUAAAUUUGAAUUUAAGAUUUGAUUUCAGUUCUAAAUUUGAAUUUAAACUUCGAAUUCAAAUUCACCUUUUGAAUUUAAAAUUCAAAUCGAAGUUUGAAAUUAAAUUAGUGUCACGCCCCAAAUUACCACGUUUCCCCGAGAACGCGAACAGAUCCGCCUGUACAUAGGUAUUUCCCGUGUAUACGAAGCGAUAGCUGUACCUGUAAGCAAAUCAUAACUACAACAGAGUAUAGAGCUGCUAGAACUAAAACAUAUAUAAAAUAUAAAGGAUUCACUGUACAUACAACAUCCCACAACCACACUUCGCUCCAGCAAGUACACAACACAUAAAGUAUGCACAUGAAUACACUCACUACCUCUGACGGGUACUCCGCUAGCACAGCAACCAAGGCUGGUAGGGAUCUAGCUCAUGACUCCCUUACCACGGUCAGAAUCAGCAACAGCAGCAGCCGCAGACGAAGGCUUUGCAAAAAGGUGUCAACAACUAUGUAUGAGAACUACUGCAAGAUAGAGUAGUCCUAAGUGGGUAUCGUCACCGACCUCAACGUCCUACCCACUAAGUCUACAGUAAUGAUAUGCACAGGAUAGUAAGGAAAGCUGGAAAGAACUCUAUAGCUACAUGCCUCUAUACUAUCGCUACCAAAACCAACUAUCUGUAGACAUAAACAUGCAUCACUAGCUACCACUGACCCAAUCUCACACGGGCUGCCCAAACGAACCCACCCUGNCUGCCUGUAACCAAGCUACACCGUACACCACCCACGGGGAUGGCCGAUCCAAGUAAACGGUCCAAACAGGACAACUGCGACAUCAACGCAAGUCAAAACCUCACUUUGGAGCAGCACUUGUAGGCGCUACCCAACCGAGUAUGCAAGCAUGUCUCUGCCGAGCUCAACCAGGCUCUCACAAGCUAUAGUCAAUGCAAACGAGUUAAACUAGUCUAACAACCAAAGCUCACAUGCCCUUAGCAAAAUCUGAUACAAGAUACAGAAAUCUGGGUCCACCGCCAAUCACGACGGUACCCGACGGUACAGAACAAUCUACACUCUACUGUAAAACGGGCUCGGCCUCUCAGCACAAGCGUAAACUUACCCUACACUAAUCUGAGUAUCCCGUACACACUAACAGCGGGGAUACAAAAGAACAACAGCACCUGAAGCUAAAUCUGGUAACUUUUCAGAAAAUGACAGUGUAGGUUUAACGACAAGUUGCGGUGGAAGUGCAAUCCUAUAAGCUACUGGCUCGACUCGCUUCAAAACCUCAAAAGGGCCAACAAAUCAUGGACUGAGCUUUCCACGAACUCUAAAUCUGCGAAUCCCUCGGGACGGCAAGACUUUCAGGAAUACAUGAUCACCAACAUGAAACUCCAAGUCUCGUCUCCUAGUAUCAGCAUAGCUCCUCUGUCGACUCUGGACGGUCUCAAGAUGUCGUCGCACAACUCUAACCUUUUCCUCUGCCUCCAACAGAAUCUCAGGUUCCAAAGUCUUCUUUUCCCCCACAUCACUCUAAUGUGUAGGUGAUCAACACUUGCGUCUAUACAAUGCUUCAAACGGAACCAUUCGAAUGCUCGCUUAAUAGUUGUUGUUGUACGCAAACUCAACCAGUCUCAAGUGUCGAUGCCACCCUCCUCCAAAAUUCAGGACACAAGCUCUCAGCAUGUCCUCUAGAGUCUAAAUGGUUCGCUCCAACUGACCAUCUAUCUGUGGGUGGAAAGCCAUACUAAAAUGAAGCUGAGCACCCAAAGCCGUCUGAAGGCUCCUCCAAAAAUGCGAGACGAACCUCAGAUCUCUAGCUGAUACGAUCGAGGUAGGUACUCCAUGUAACCUCACUACCUCAUGUAUAACUGGGCGAGUCGCUCCCUAGACCAAGUGGUCUGCACUGGUAGGAAGUGAGCAGACUUAGUAAGGCUGUCCACUAUCACCCAUAUAGCACCAAAUCCACCAUGUGCUCUCGGUAAACCCACGACGAAAUCCAUGGUGAUGUGACCCAUUUCCACUCAAGCACAGGAAGAUUUUGAAGCUUGCCAGCAGGUACACGAUGCUCUGCCUUCACCUGUUAGCAAGUUAGUGCCAAUGUCCCUCUUCAUUCCAUUCCAUCAAAAGUGUACCUUUAAAUCCUUAUAUAUUUUGGUUCCACCGGGAUGAACCGUAUAAGGUGAGUAAUGAGCCUCUCUCAAAAUCUCCUAUCGGAUCUCUGAAUCCAUAGGCACACACAGUCGGUCCCUAUGCCGCAGUACUCCCGAACUGUCCACAGUAAAGGCCUCUGCCUGUCCCCUCUCUACCUGCUCCCGAAUCCUCAACAAAUGAGAGUCUCCACCCUGUUUCUCCCUGAUCCUAUCUAAGAGAGUGGGCUGCAAGACUAUAGACAUCAGUCUUGCAAUAGUCCCAGGGGAUACUAUCUCAAGCCUCAAUCACUGCAACCCCUCAAGUAACGAUCUCUGCUGAGUGAUCAACAUGCUCAAACUCUGCACUGACUUUCGGCUCAACACAUCUACCACCACAUUUGCCUUGCCGGGGUGGUACUGAAUGCUGAUAUCCUAAUCUUUCAAUAACUCCAACCACCAGCGUUGUCUCAGAUUCAACUCCUUCUGGGUGAAUAGAUACUUGAGACUUUUAUGAUCUGUAAAGAUCUCACAGUGCUCACCAUACAGAUAAUGUCGCCACAACUUUAAAGCAAACACCACAGCGGCAAGCUCUAAAUCAUGCGUAGGGUAAUUCUUCUCAUAAUCCUUCAGCUGCCGGAAAGCAUAAGCAAUUACCCUACCAUGCUGCAUCAGAACACAACCCAACCCGGUGUGGGACGCAUCACUGUAGAUCACAAAUCCUUCCCCCAUAACUGGAAGGGCAAAGAUAGGAGCCGAUAUCAACAUCUGUCUCAACUCAUCGAAGCUCCUCUGACAAUCCUCACUCCAGACGAACUUAAUUCUUUUACGAGUCAAUCAAGUGAGGGGCGUGGAAAGCUUCGCAAAGGCUUCCACGAACCGACGGUAAAAACCAGCUAAUUCAAGAAAACUCCUCACCUCGGUAACUGUCGUCGAUCUGGGCCAAUCCCGAAUCACACCAAUCUUCUUAGGGUCAAUUGCUACUGUAGCUGCUGAGAUCACGUGGCUCAAGAAAGAAACCUCCCGAAGCCAAAACUCGCACUUCUUUAACUUAGCAUAUAACUUCUUCUCCCUUAGAAGCUGUAAUACUAUCCACAAGUGCUCCUCGUGCUCAACAUCACUCCGGGAGUAAAUCAAAAUAUCAUCAAUGAACACUGCAACAAAUCUAUCCAAGAACGGCUUAAAUACUCUAUUCAUCAAAUCCAUAAAUACGGCAGGGGUAUUAGUCAAUCCAAAAGGCAUCACUGUGAACUCAUAAUACUUGUACCGAGUCCGAAAAGCCGUCUUGGGAACAUCCUCAACCCUCACCAUCAACUAGUGGUAACCUGACUGUGGAUCAAUCUUUGAGAAGACACAAGAUUAUUGCAGUUGAUCAAACAGAUCAUCGAUGCGCGGCAAAGGAUACUUGUUCUUGAUGUCACUUUAUUCAACUCCCGGUAAUCCAUUCAUAGUCUAAGUGAACCAUCCUUCUUCUUCACGAAUAACACCAAUACUCUUCAAGGUGAAACGCUGGGUCUCACAAUUCCCUUAUCCAUCAGAUCCUGAAGCUGCACCUUAAGCUCCCUCAGCUCAGCCGGUGCCAUUCUAUAAGAUGCCUUUGAGAUUAGCGCAGUUCCAGGAACCACGUCAAUCACAAACUCAAUCUCUCUAUCUUGCGGCAUAGUCGUCACCUCCAGAGGAAAAACAUCCAAAACCUCGCAAACUACAGGGAUGUCCUCGAGUCCCGGUGUUGCCUAAGCACCUCUACUACCGUCGCCAAUAAAGUAAUGCAUCCUCGACUCAUCGGCUGCCUGGCUCUCGCUAACGAAAUCGGAGUGGCAAACAACGUACUCCUGCAGCCUUUAUAUGUGAACUCCUCCUGGCCUGGCUCGUGGAACGUCACUAUCCUAGCUCUACAAUCGAUCGUCGCAGAAUACCGAGCCAGCCAAUCCAUGCCAAGCACUACAUCAAAGUUCUUCAACUACCCCAAGACCAACAGGUCUACAGGCAUAAUCCAAGGGCCCAACUGCACUGGAUAAGCCGAACAACACUCCAUCAUAUGUAACACAUGGUUGGGAAUCUGCAUCACACGUGCAUGUAACAGCGGCCCUUUCUCUAGUCCAUGCAAUGAUGCGAAUGCUCAGUGCAAUGAUGCGAAUGCUCGACUAACAAAAGAAUGUGAUGCACCGGUAUCAAAUAAUGUACGACCUCUAAUACCAGAAAUCAAAAUGAUACCUGCCACCACGCGGUCUGCUGUCGUGGAGUCCUCAACCUGAGCUGCAUACACCCUACCACUCGAUGCCUGCUGUCGCCGCUCACUCUGCUGCGACACUGAAGCUCUGUCAGCCUGGCUAUAACUCGGUGGUGCUCCAAAGGUCUGCUGAGGUACCGGUGGGGCCGACGCCAUCGAAGGUGCUAGUGAUGCUGCUCGGGGACAAGUCGCCCGCAGAUGCCCUGGUUGGCAACAUCCAAAACAUCGGCCCUCUCUCUGCUCACAGUAACAAGGCCAGUGUGGUCCCCCACAAAUAAUGCACUGCUGAGUCCCCUGCUGUUGACAUUGCUGACGAGAUCCCCCAGACCGUUGUUGCCCCGAAGACCCACGACCCUGAGAGCGUGAUCGUGGAGGCCUCGGCGGACGUUUGCUACUGGUCUGUCCUCCGUCAUCAGGGAUCGGGCGCUUCCUGUCCUGACUAUGCCCUGGCACCGUCGCACACUCACGGACUGAUACAGCUCCUCUCUCAACCCACAAUGCCUACUCAAUCGAGGCAUCCAAGGUCCGCAACCUCUGCGCCCGCACCAACACAAAGAUCUCUGGCCUUAAGCCUCUCUCAUACAGAUAGACCUUAUGGGCUUCAUCCCUGGCUACAAACGGCACACAGUUCAGAAACCUGGUAAACUCCCGAGUAUACUCCUGUACUGACUGCUCUCCCUGCUGUAGCUUCUUCAGGUCCUCAUUGAGUUUUUGCUUCAUGUUGUUUGGGAAAUAGGCCCCGUACAGCAACCCACAAAACUCAUCCCACCUCAUCUGCAGGGCAACCAAACCUCGGUUCUGUGGCAUCCUUCUCUACUAAGCAUGCGCAUCACCUGCCAAACAGUGCACCGCCAGAUGUACCAGCUGUCGCUCAAGUAUAAAUAGAUCCUCAAAUAGCUUCUCUAUCGCACUCACCCAUUCCUCUACUGCUCAGGGCUCGGUGCGACUACCAUCGAAGUGCGGCAGAUCAAACCGAUAAAAACGAGCCAGCCUCUCUGUCAUCUGCUCCUGCUCGGCCUCUAACAUCUACAAUGCCUCUCCGGGAGGUGCAACCGGUACUUUAGGAUCUGUAGCUGGUGGGGGUACAGCUAUCGCUGGUGCGGCCAUUGGAGUAGUCGGAGGUAGCGCCUGCUGCUCUAACGCUCUGGGCACUGUACUCGUCUGCUGAGUAAAAGUCUCACACAUCCUCUGUAGUUACACCCCUUGCUGUCUGGUCACCUCAGUCAAGGCAGCCAACUGCUCUGUCAAAUCAGGGGGUGCACUCGGUCCUGCCUGGUUCAGCAUCUUUGAUGGCGCGAAACGAUCCUGCGACGGCGGUAGACCUCGGUGUCGAUACAUGGCUACCUGAAACCAAAACAAGGGUCAAAUACAAUAUACAACCAACUCUCGACCCAAUCAAGUGAAAGUCUAGAAGGCCACCCCUAUUUCUUCUCAAAAUUAUGUCGUCUGCAGCCGAUAUAAUUUUCUUAGCAGAAACAGACACUCCUUCAGUCACUUCCUUCGCUCUAGGAGGAGUUAAAACAACUCAAUUGCCGACUUUCGCAAUAAGUCAUGCCUCUCGCGUCUUGCCUUCCCUAAGCUUUGCCAAGCCUAGGGUUUCUAGGUCCCAACGAUCUAAUUCUAAGCUCUGAUACCAACUUAAUCUGUCACGCCCCGGAUUACCAUGUUUUUUCGGGCACGCGAACAUACCGCCGCCGUAUACAUAGGUUUUUCCCCUGUAUACGAAGCGAUAGCUGUACCUGUAAGCAAGUCAUAGCUACAACUAAGAGUAUAGAGCUGCUAGAACUAAAACAUAUAUAAAACAUAAAGGAUUCACUAUACAUACAACAUCUCACAACCACACCUCCCUCCAGCAAGUGCACAACACAUAAAGUACAAGGGUACCGAGCGUGACCAACGCGAGAAGUCACAUGGAUGUCCACUCAUUCGUCAGUGACUUACUCAAUGUUACAGUAGUGUGACUGGUUCUUUGACUUGCUGUGCCUCAGCUAUUCACAAUGAGGUUACUGUAGUUUGACUGUACAUACACUUGGUCCCUAGCCAUUCGAGUCUGUCUGCCACCACGAAUGACGCACCUCGCACGGUCGAUGGAUUUUGUCGUGGGGUUGUAUUCAUGAUUCAGGUUAAUAUUUAUAUGUAUGUAGGUAUCAGGUAUUGCGGGUCCCUGGCUUCCAAUAGAUGCAAGCAUCUAUUGUUAAUUACCCCCGUCGCAUUGGGGGAUCUUCGAUUAAGAGACCUUCAUAGAGAGGAUGGGAUGAAUUAUAUCUUGGUUUGAAUCCUAAGUAUAUGUAUUAGGAUUCAGUUGGAUUUGGGAUUGGCUAGGUCCUAAGUAUAUGUAUUAGAGCUCUAAGUAUAUGUGUUAGGGUUAGUCGGAUGAAGUCUAAGUAUAUGUGUUAGAGUUCGAAUGAACUUGAUGUAUGUUUUUUACUGAAUUCUGAGUGUAUAAUUUAGAACUCUGUCGAUUUGGAAGUAUUUUGCCUUAGUUAUAUUUGUUAAGGCGAUUGACUUAGCCCUAAGUAUAUGUAUUAGGGGUGGUCGAUAUUUGAUUUUUACUCUAGGUAUAUGUGCUAGAGUAAAAAAGGUUCAUGAUGAACUUUGGGUAUGAUUUAGUUCAUGAACUUGAUGCAUGGUUCAUGACAUUUGGGUAUUGGUGUAUAGGAUUUGAAGAUGAUUUAGUUCGUGAGGUUUGGGUAGAGUUCAUGAGAUUUGGACAUGGUUCAUAGGAUUUGGUUUGGUUCAUGAACUUGGGUAUGGUUCAUAAGGUUUGGCAUAUGAAAUUUGGUUCAUGGGAUAUGGUGUAUAGUUCAUGAGGUUUAUGACUCAUAGGGUUUGAUGUAUGGUUCAUGAUAUUAGUUCAUGAACUUGGAUAUGGUUUAUGGGAUUGGGUUCAUGAAUUUGGUCCAUGGUUUAUGGGGUUUGGUUUAUAGUUCAUGAACUUAGUGUAUGGUUCAUGAGGUUUGGUCUAUGGUUCAUGAGGUUUCGUUUAUGGUUCAUGAACAUGAGACUUGAGUCAUGAACUUGGGUAUGGUUCAUAGUGUUUGGUUAUUGGAUUUGUUUCAUUAACUUGGAUAUGGUCCAUUGGGUUUUGUUCAUGGUUCAUGAGGUUGGGUAUAUGGGAUUUGGUUCAUGAACUUAGAUAUGGUUCAUGGACUUUGUUCAUGGUUCAUGAACUUGGUUUAUAGACUUGGUUCAUGGUUCAUGAACUUGCGUCGUGGUUCAUGAGGUUGGGUAUAUGAACUUGGUUUAUGGUUCAUGAACUUGAUUUAUUUGGUUUAUGAACUUGGUUUAUGGACUUUGUUCAUGAUUCAUGAACUUGAUUCAUUUGGUUCAUGAACUUGGUUUAUAGUUCAGGAGCUUUGAGGUUUGGUUCAUGGUCUAUGGGAUUUGGUUCAUGAGGUUUGGUUUACGGUUCAUGAGAUUUGGUUCAUGAACUUGGGUUUUUGAUUCAUGACCUUGGGUAUAAGAUUUGGUUCAUGAUUCAAGAAAUUUGGGUUCAUGAGUCCAAGUUGGAAGUUGGGUUAGGGUUAUAUUUGUGGUCCGGAUUGGAUUUGAGUUUGGAUUUAUUUGUGGACUAAAUUGGAUUUGAGUUUAGAUUUUGUAGGUUUCGGGGCUUUUAUGUGGACUUGAUUGGAUUUGGAUUUGGGUUUAGAUUUCGAUUUUGGGUUUGGAUUUGGAUUUGUGGACUUGAUUUGGAUUUGGGUCCUUAUGUGGACUUGGUUUGGAUUUGGAUUCGUGUUUUAUUUGUGGACUUGGUUUGGGUUUUGGAUUUGGUUUUUUAUUUGUGGACUUGAUUUGGGUUUUGGGUUUGGUUUUUUUAUUUGUGGACUUGAUUUGAGGACCCGGUUUGGAUUUGGAUUCGGAUUUUAUUUGUGGACUUGAUUUCGGUUUUGGAUUUGGUUUUUUAUUUGUGGACUUGAUUUGGGUUUUGGGUUUGGUUUUUUAUUUGUGGACUUGAUUUGGGUUUGGGUUCUUAUGUGGACUUGGUUUGGAUUUGGAUUCGGGUUUUAUUUGUGGACUUGAUUUGGGUUUUGGAUUUGGUUUUUUAUUUGUGGACUUUAUUUGGGUUUUGGAUUUGGUUUUUUAUUUGUGGACUUUAUUUGGGUUUUGGAUUUGGUUUUUUAUUUGUGGACUUUAUUUGGGUUUUGGAUUUGGUUUUUUAUUUGUGGACUUGGUUUUCUUUUCAAUUCUAUUUCGUGUCCGAGGAAAUCCUUUUUUGAUUUUACAAUUCGAUUUGGGGUUUGAAGAAAUCCCCUUUUGAUUUUGCAAUUUGAUUUGGGGUUCGAAGAAAUCUCCUUUUGAUUUUGUGAUUCGAUUUGGGGUCCGAAAAAAUCCCCUUUUGAUCUCGAUUUGGGGUCCGAAGAAAUCCCGUUUUGAAUUUGCAAUUUGAUUUUGGGUCCGAAGAAAUCUCCUUUUGAAUUUGCAAUUUGAUUUGGGGUCCGAAGAAAUUUUCUUUUGAAUUUGCGAUUCGAUUUGGGGUCCGAAGAAAUCCCCUUUUAAUCUCGGUUAUAUUUGUUGUAAAGACGGUAAAUGGUUCACCGCCUUCAUAAAGCGGUGAAUCGUUUACUGCUUUUAGUGCAAAUUCCUAUUCUGAUGCGCAAAUUUUUUCAAAUUAAGGGUAUGGUAUCCUUGAUAAGACAGUGAAUCUUAUGAAGAUAGUGAACGAUUCACCGUCUUUGGUUCAAAACCAACCCAACGCAGAGAAAAAAAAAAAAGAAAAUUUUGCACUAAAGACGGUGAAUGGUUAUUGCCUUCAGAAGGCGGUAAAUUAUUUACCAUCUUUACAACAAAUAUAAAAAAGACGGUGAACGAUUAACCGUCUUUGUGAGAAAUCCUGACGUGACGCCCACGUGGCAAAAAGAGAGUUAGUUUUACAAAUAAAAUUUUGACAGGAUCAUUUUACCAAUUUCAAGUUUCUGGAGGGUCAUUUUAUAAAAAAAGCCCCCACCCCACACACGACGUUCCUCCCGAUGGACCCCAUCAGCGCUCUCCAUGACGGGAUCCUUGCAAAGAUCGUCUCCCUCCUCCCUCUGAAGCGCAUGCUCCGCACCUCCCUUCUCUCCCGCCGCUGGCGCCUCGUCUGGACGACCGUUCCCGCCUUCGACUUCACCGAUGCUGCCGACGACAAUGUCAACGUCUACAUCUCCAGAAUCGACAGCUGCCUGGAGCAUCUAUCCGCCUCCCCCUCCUGCAUGACCAUCCCCUCUAUCGUCUUCCCCGCCAUCCAAGACUCCGACGUCGUCGACCGCUGGAUCCGCUUCGCCGCCGCCCACUCAGUCCAGCGCCUCAAAUUCGCCAUGUGGAUGGACUACACCCCCCCAAUCCCCUUCACCCUUCCCCUCUCCCUCUUCCAAUUAUGCCGCGGCCUCACGGCCCUCGACAUCUCCAGCUGUGAAAUCCCUGGCGUCCUCGAGCCCGUCAUCAGCCCUGCUUUCCCCUCCCUCCGCUCCCUCUCCCUCUUCGAAGUCACCAUCGCCGAUCCGCGGGCGUUUUUCGCGCAGUGCCCGGCGAUCGAGCGCCUCACCGUGGAGCUCCUCAACGAGGCCGAUCUCCUCCCCGCGUCCGCCUUCCGCUCCUGCCCCCUCAUCUCCACCCUCAGACUCGCCUACUGCACCGUUCCCCGCGAAACCCCCUCCGCCGGCCCUCCCGCCUUCCCCUCCCUCCGCUCCCUCGAACUCGACUACGCCCGCGUCGCCGCUCCCCAGUCGCUCCUCAACUCGUGCCCCGUCAUCGCGGAGCUCACCAUCAGGAACCCAGUUCCGGAAGGUUUCGCUUUCCGCCUCGACCCCCGCCACACCGUCUCCACCCUCCGGAUCUUCGGUCCGACUGUCCUCCCUUUCUCCCUCCCCUCCUCCUCCUUCCGCACGCUCGUCCUCUUCGAUCUUGAAAUCGCCAACCCGCCGGCGCUCAUCCGGGCAUUCCAGGGGCUCGAACUCCUCUCCCUUGAUAGUGUCUUGUUCGAGACCGGAGCUGACUCGGGAAUCCAGGUUCGAGCGCCGAGGAUGAGGCACCUCAUGGUGCAGGAUUCCGAGGAGCUCGGCACCAUCGUUGUCGCUGACACUCCCCAGCUCUGCCGCCUCUUCUACUGGGGCGACAUCCGCUAUCUAGGAGUGUUCGACCGUGCCGUCCCAAAGCUGGAAGAGGCCUUUCUGCAUUGCACGGUCAAGAAUCCUUACGGCGGAAAAUACCACCUGUGGAAGAACUUGAUGCAGCCGCUCUCCCACGUUAGGCUGUUGUCUGUCAACUGGUGGUUCAUUUGUGAGGUAUGGUUUCGACAAUUCCGUCUGUUUAUUGUUGGCCGAAAUUCUCUCUUCCAAGAACUACUCCAUUAGUUGCCCUUCUUUGGGUUGAGAUCUUGUUGUUGCCCUCUUGGUUUUAGUUUGCUGUAUUUUGUGUAGAGAAUCUGCAAAUUCAUGUACCUUGCUGCAAAAGAUGACAAUGCCGACCUUUUGCUGUUUGUAGAUUGUAAUUUCUCCUGCUGAAGCCUUGAUAUGUGAAUUUGUGAUGAUUCGUAAAUAUAGUCAUCGGAGUUAGGUGUGAACUUCAGUCACACUCUUAGAAGUUAUUCUUUUCACCUGUGUAUAACACUCUAGAAAUGAAAUCGAGCAACUCGGGUGGAAAGCAUGUAACAAGCUGAAAAGUGUUGAAAAUAUCCAAGAUCAUGAACUCAGUGACAUUUUUAAGGCUCUUUGGGUUCGGGAGCUUUGCUGGUUCUACAUAAAACACAAAGUAUCAGCGGAGCCCCUUACACCCUCCUGGCUUGAGUUGUUCUUAAACAAUCUAGUCGAACUAAAGGGAUAGAGUUUUAAUUUAAAUAACCUUUACAGUCUCUGAAGCUUUUCUCGCCACAUUAAAGUUGAACCCGACAGUUGGUGAAUUAACUAUCUGGAGAAAGACGUGGCAUCAACAUCCUCGAUAUAGCUCCAGAGCUUAAAAACCUGCUGUGUUAUUUGUCAUUCUUGAACAAUCCCUUUGGAUGAUAUGUGGAUAACAGGGCCAUGGUAGUUGUAAUUACUCUCUCAUUCUUUGCUAGUUUCUACUGCCAAUAACUACGUUUGCAAUAUUUGACUAGUUAUAUUAAUUGUUAAUUAUUAUAUAGUAAUGCCGACUCAGUCAUGAUCGGAUAACCUUAUUACGUGGUUGAAGUUGUAGCAUUGCUAAUGCUACCAUUACUUGUUGAGUUUCCAUUAUUUGCUUAGAUGUCAUUGACAUUUGUCUAGCAUUCCUCCGAAGGUCCCUAUAAACGCUGUUAAUGAUUUUUACUUAUGUUUCAACAAAUAUGUUGGUCAACUUUUAGAUUACGAUUCAAUUCACUUACCCCACAGGAGAAUGGUGACUCAUUAGUAGACAUUAUGGAGCAAAUCUUUUCAGUUAUGCCUAAAGUAUCGAUCUUUGCUAUUUUCACAAGCUUGAUUGGUUUUACUGUACUUCUUUUUCACCUAAUAUAGCACGACAUAUGCAACACCUGAAUCCCCCAUGCAUUCUUUUUCUCUUUUUAACGCAAAAUGUUGAAUCAUUUGCAUUUUACUGGAGAUUUAUUCACAUAGUUUCUGCUUCUUAUGAUUGUACAGCUUAUACAUUGGAAGGCACAAGCUUAGUCGAGAUUUUAUGACGAAGUUUUAUUUCUGUACUGGUAUAUUGAUUCACACGAAUAUUCACACAGAGACAUUGAAUAUAGGUGCUUCUUGCUCCAAUUUGUCGUGUUGUGAAGGUGGUUAGAGUAAGAUAGCUGAGUAGUGUUAGUUGAUAGCGCUUAGCAGAGAAUGUGAUGCACCAGCAAAGAAUAGUGGUCUUAUUGUGGUUGAAGGUGUGACCAGGAAGGUUUUUUUUUUUUUUUUAAAAAAAAAAGCAUGUUUAAGGUCCUGCUUUCCCAGUGAGAGAUUUUACAAGAAGAGCAAAAUCGGUGCUCAGUUAAGACGAAGCAUUUCAUGCCUUGAUGCAUAUCAUAGAUAUUUUCAUAUCUAUGCCAAACAGGUUAUGCAGUGCCAGAUUGCACAAGCUAGGUGAGAAGCAGAACCUAAAAAUAGGGUGUGAUGAGACUGAAUUUGGGAGAAAGUCCAAACUGUGAUACGGCUGAAAAUGCAUUAGGAUAAUAGCAUUGGAGAGCAGAGCCAAUACCCGCUGGGCCUUGUUAGCAGAGUUAACUAUUAAAUAUAGACUCCAAAGUGAAUGAAUGACAGCAUAUUGAACUAAUACUACAAGGAGCCCCUGGAUUUUGGACAAAACGGACACAAAUAAGCUAGACAUGUGACUUUCAGUUUUUCAUUCUACCUCAGAUUUUUGUCGUUCUCGUUCUUUUCUGCAUGAAUGGCAGAAAGAUUUUCAUGGUGCAAGCACUAAUUUUACGUGCUACAAAAUGUGGCGCUACUUCUUUGUUAAUUCGAAAUGACUGCAUAGAUAUAUUUCUAAUACUACACAUAAAAGCAAUUUGCUAUAUAUGUUCUUUCGCCUUAUUAUGAUUCUUUCUCCUGAAAGUUUAUGCAAGGAUGUCCUGUUGGGAGUGAGCGGCUGAUAUUUGACAAACUCAAAGAGUUCCAUUGGUGGCCUGUGUUCAAGAAAUAUGCAGUAGCCACAUUUGAGAAGUGGUACACCAAAAGGCUGUCACCCAUCGUCGUUUUGUCACUUCUUGAUUUCCUCGAGUGUUGCCCGAACAUACAACACCUAUGCAUUGUCGUAUGCGCUGCAAUUGCCUUUGCAUCAUGUGGCUUCCCGCGUUCAGUUUCUUUAAUGUAACUUUCCGCCCUUUAAAUGUUCAGAGCACGAAUGCUGUACCGGAGAGCCCACCGCCAGUAGUCCCCUCAGCAAAAGAAAAUGAAGAUGAAUUUUUGAUCAUGAUGGAGAAUAGUAUUGAUUUAAACCAAACCGAAGGUUUGCAGAUCGUGCAAAGAGUACCGAAUAUUGGCCAGAGCUCGCUGCCUCAACUAAAGAAAUUCACGAUGCAUCAAUUCUCCGGAGGGCCGGGAGAUAUGUGCUUGCUGUACUUUGUGGGGUUGAAGGGUUGUGCUCUACAGCACAUACAUCUUUAUUAUGUGAAAGGUUCAAGAGGGGCAACGCACAGGAUUCAGAGCACUGUCUGCCAUUACUUCUCUACAUGCUCUCCGCAUGCUAUUCUUCAGUUCUCGAAAUGUUCUUCUGAUGAAAACUGCCCAAGGCAUGCGGAGUUAUGUAUGUAUGAGUUUUAUGAAUGAAUCAUGAUGGUUUAGAUUAGCUGCUGCUAUGACAAAUUGAGAUGGGGCGCUCCUGUCACUUUCCUCCUUUUUUUUUUUGUUAUCUCGAAUGUAUAGAACACAUGUACUGUGUACAGAUCAUACUUUUUUUACUUGUUUCAGAAACAUGCUGGGAGUGGGAACAAUAACUAAGCAAAUUGAACUGUUGAUUUCAUACGAAAGUCAACAGUACAUUUUAUGUUGUUCUUUGACCUCUUUAAGGUCACUUGAUCUUUUCACAAAUCAAAGCAAAAGCCCUGGUCAAAAUUGGGCAUAACUCAUCUCACAAAGACUGUAAAGAUAAUAUACAUGUCACUGUAUUUUUGAUUCAUAACUGCUUUAAGAUGAUUCAUCCAUAAAUUUGCACAUGUAUCGAUUGAACUCGAGGUGCCUCAUGUGACAUAUCUUUCAACCAAUUAAUGAACAGAUCGUGCAUCUGCAACUUUUUUUUCUCCACCUUUUGCUCAUCUUUGAUUUGACCACAGUCGCCAUAUUCCCUGAUUUCUAAACGUCGCCAUAUUCCCUGAUUUCUAAACGAAUUUGCGAACAGCUUAUGAUUUUUUUUAGUUUCUAGAAAUACUUUUUUAAUUACUCAAUAAUGUAUGCAUACUAACAACAGAAAUUAUAGAAAGCUUUUGAGUUACCUAUUAAUCAAUUAGCUCAUUCAAUUUUUGUUUGAUUAUUCUUUUCAAAAUGAAUUCUUAUUAUGUUUUAAACUUAUGUUAUCGUGGAUUGAUAGGAGAUGGCGUGAUUAUAUAAGAAUCUUAUACUUUGAUAUAUUUUUAGUUCUACCACAUGUAACAGUUGAGUUCCUAUGACAAUGUUAUAUUGGAAUGACAAUAUUGGAUUCGAGCUAGCGAUAUGGUGUUUCAACUUUGUAAUGGGGUUGCUCACAAAACAUUGUAAUAGGAUCUGUUGAAUUAAGAUAGUCUAUUGUUAAGUUUGACUUAAUUAUACUAUACUACACCAUACUUUGGGGUUUUUUCAUUUGUAUACUAUAUUAUUACUAUUUUUUCUCAAAGACACAAGUAGACUAUUUUUUUAUUCAGUAUGUACACCAUAAGUAAUAAAUCUAUAAUCAUUUACUUACUAUAUACUAUACAUAAAAGGGGAGCCAGUGAAAUGUACGGCCGUGCUCUUUGGAUUUGGGGCAAAUCGGUGGGGCCCUUUUUUUUUUCAUUCCUCUCUCUCUCUCUCUCUCUCUCUCUCUCUCUCACACAUAUGAGCCAACCCUUUCUAGUUUAUUUAAUUUUUUUUUUUGCCUACACCAGGCCUAAAGAUUCAUCAUAUGAACCAAGCUUAUUUUUUAAUAUUUAAUAUAAUAAAAUUAAAUUUUCAUAUGAUAAAUACAAUCUAUAAUAUAUAAAAGAUCUGGAUACAAAAUUUAAUAGAUUUUUACUUGUAUAAUAAAAUUUUAUAAAUACAGUACAAAAAAAGUUAUACACCCGAUAUAUAAGACAUCCUCACAUGUUCUUCAAUUUGACUUUAACAUAAAUAAUGUUUAGCCCAUUUAAUAUACAAUAUAAGUCCUCCAACUUUAACUUUUUAAUUAAAAAUUUAUUUAUAAAAUAACUAUCAAAACUAUUAAAUUUAAUUAAAUUUUUAAAUAAAUUUAUUAGAAUAAUUUGACUAUAUAAAUAUUAAAAGUUAAAAAAUUAAUAAAAAAGUUAUUUUUUAUAAUGUACGCAAGACUACUUUAUAGUUUCUUUUUUCUUUAGUUAUAUUUUUUAAUUUAAAAUUUUAAUAAAUAUGUACAGGUUAAUUGAUUGAAAUAUUACCUACCUGCCGCGAAGCGAAGCGCAGAAUCUACACUAUUAUUAGAUAAAAGUUAGAACUCCAUUAAAAAGCAAUGACACAAAAUAGCAGUGCACAUAUUUGGCCAAUUUUGGCAAGAAAACAUAAAAUAGUGAGAAAAGAUAGCUGAAAAUAAUUUGAUAAAAGAAUUUCUAUCUUUCACGGAGGACCACUUUGCUUUUUCCUACUAUCUAACUAUUGUCUCCUAUUAGAGCUCCUAGCUUCUGUUUAAAACAACAGAUUUUUUGACAAUAAUGCAGAGAUUAGUAAGAAAACAAUAGUUUAGUAAUUUUUUUUGAGGAAAAAGAAAUAUAAGGUAGCAAAUGAAAAAAAAUCUAAAAUAUAAUGUAGGGAUUGAUUAAAACCAGUAAUUCAAUGGUGUCUUGUAGAGUGUGGGAAAUCUUAGUGUAGAUUAUAAUAUUAGAAAUAAUAAUGAAAGUGACAAAAUUAUUUAUUAAAAAAAUUAAAUGAAUGGUUGUUUCUUUACUGAAUUAGUUAUUCUUAUGAAAAGAUGUCUUUUUAUUUGAUGCAAAGAAAUGUGCCUUUUUAUGAAGAGAUACGCUUAGGAGUGUAAUGUGGGUCGUGUCAUGCCGGCACGGCCCACAAUACCCGGGCUGAAACGGGCCAAGGGUCAGCCCGGCCCGGAUUCAUAUUCGGGCUGUGUCACGCCCCAGAUGUCUCGUUCCCCGGGCACGUCGACAAAUCUGCUGUAUACAAACGAAUUUUCCUUGUAUACGAAGCGACAGCUGUACCUGUAGAUAUACAAUACUGCAAACAGUAGCAUAGAGCUGCUCGAAUAAACAAAAGCUAAACAAACUGAGUUUCAUAUACAUAGAUCAAAUCCAAAAUACAGAGUUACUCGCAUUGGCGAGUUAAGUAGGCUAUGUACAUAAACUCGAAACAAAACAUCUACCUGCAGUAGGGGGCCUCUAGCUCUGCUCGUCGGGUAGGGCUCUAACUUGCGACGCCCUUGCCUCGAUCCUGAUCCGCGGAAAGUGCAGCAGCCGAAACCUGUGGCUCUGCAAAAACAGGAGUAACAACUGGGCGUGAGAACUACUGUAAAAACAAGUAGUCCUCAGUGGGUACCGCCCAAAACAACAUCGGUCCACCCACUAAGUCUCCAGAAGGGAGCAAGAAUAGUCGGAAAAGCAGGAAGUAAACUCUACCGCUAUCAAUCACUAUACUAUCAUGCUCUACACUAACCAACUGUAGGAAAUGUCAAAUCUGACCCAAUCCAAUCGGGACUGUAAGCCUACCCGUCCCUGGGACUGUGAAUACACCCGUCCCUGCCCAGUUGCGACUAUCCAGCUCCAUCCACACUAACUGAUCCGUGGAGAGCAAGUCCAACCGGCAUGAGCGACACCAACGCGAAGCACAAAGCCCGUCUCCGGAGUGGCACUCGUGGGCAUGGACGAAGCUAUGUGGAGGCCCAAGGUGGCCAUGGCCCCCCUCAACUUUUCAAUAUUUGCUUAAUGGUCCUUCAAUUUUUUUUUUUUUUUUGUGUAUCAUGGAUAGAUUUGGCCCUCCUAGAUUUUCAAUAUUUACUUAAUAGCAUGGUGCCAACAUAACUCUCUCUCUUUCUCCUAAUCGAUAUACUCUUUUUAUGGAUGAAAAUAUAUUAAAAUCUAUUUUUUGUAAUAUAUUUCUCUACUCUAAAAAUUUUAUUUAAUAAUUUUUUAAAACUUUUAUUUAUCUUAGAUGAGCUCUUUUAUUUGACUAAAUCAAGAAUUGCACUAAAUUUAAUAGCUAUGUUAAUUUUAUUUACUAAAAAGCUAAAAAAUUACUAUUAGAUUUAGUAAAAUUUCUAAGUUAUUUUAAUGUAAUGAUAUAAAUAAAAUAAUUAGAAGUUAAACAUCUGAAAAUAAAAAAAAAUAAAGUUCAUACUUUUACAUUAUUUAUUUAAUUAAUAAUUUUUUAAUAAAAGUUUUUUAAUUAGGAAAAAUUUUGUUUAUUAUUUAUUACUAAAAUUUUUAUUUAAAUAUAUUUUGGCCCCCCUCAAGAUUGAAUCCUAGCUUCGUCCCUGCUCGUGGGAGCUACCCAACCGAGUAUGCACCGUAUCUCUGUCGAGCUCAAUCAGGCUCUCAAAAGCCAAAGUCCAGUAACCGACUCAAACUGGUCUAACAACCAACAGGUAACGUGCCCUCGGCACAAUCCGACGCCAAAAAAGUGAUACGGGUCCACCGUCAACCCCGACGGCACCCAACAGUCCGGAACAGCCUGAACGCUACUGUAAAAGUAUACUCGGCAUCCCGGCACAAGCGUAACCGAAAGCUAAACUAUCUGGAAUACUCACUAUGAGGAUACUGCUACAGUAUAAAAUAAUACAACGGCCCCUAUGGCUAAAUCAGGUAGUUUAAAUAUAUGACGAUCAUAAUCGCGAGUUUUCUCCUAAGUCUUAUCCAAGUCCAACAUGUAUAUAUAUAUAUAUAUAUAUAUCCAAAGAUAAUAACUCAGCUCCAAUUCAGAUUAUUAACCAUACUAAAUCAAUAAACCGAGCAAUUGCGCCACACAAGAUAAUUCCACAAUUACAUGUCGACUAUAUAGGCACUUAGGAGUAAACCGAUGAUUAACCCACCUUAAUCGCAAAUCCCCGACGGUGAAGAAGGUCACCGGAGUCCCUGUCAAGCUCGGCGCAGCUCCCCGAACCAGCGACAACACGCUCCAUGGGUCUAAACAUAGAAACCCAUAUUAAGCAUCAAUUCUGCCCAAAACAGCAGCAGCAGAAAGAAAUAGGGAUACGACCUAACAAACCUUCACCAAAUCCAGCAAAUAAGGGCUUCGUGGAUUCCUCUCGAAGUCCCGAAUCCAACGAACCAAGUCCCGUCGAAAUCCGACAUUCCUACGUCGAGUACGAGCCGAAACACUAACGGUCAACGCUGAAAAUCAGUAAAAUCAGCACGCGAGCUCAAAACCGUGCGUUCAAGUAAUCCAAGAAGGAAAGUUAGGUACCCACAUCGACAGCGAAUCCAGCGCCGGUGCGACGUCGAGGACGGCGAAAAUGCACCCUCGCCCAGCCUCCAUGCGACGUUACGGCGACAAACGUGCGCUCAAACGGCUCGGCGAUGCGACGUCGGCAACGAACGCUCCACCCAAGUUCCUCCUCCUCGCGUAUGGCUCCAGAGACAGAGAGGGAGGAAAUUUUAAUUAAGGAGGCAUGUACAACCCCCUAAUUAGAUAAGCAUGAAAUACAUGCAUGGGGGCACGUGGCAUUAUAUAUAUAUAUAUAUAUAUAUAAGGAUACUACAGGCUGUGCCGUGUAGAGUCGGAUGCAAUCAACCAUCCGGCCCAGCACAGCCCCUAGGCCUGGGAAGUCCAAGCCGGUUCGGGCAGGGCCGGGCUUCGAGUCGGCCCCUUAAAAUUUUUAUUUUUUAUUUUUUAGAAAAAUAUUAAAAUUUUAAACUAUGAUCAAUUAAGUAUAUAUAUUCAAAUCUAUAUUUUGAUUGAAAAGUUUCAAAUUUAUAAAUAUUUUAAUUAUUAUUUUAAAUAUAAAUUAAGUGGGCUUUUGGUCCAUCUGUAACAUACCGAACUCCUGCAAUUAUGAAGUUUCGGUGGGAACUAGUUUGAAAAGGUAUUGAGAUAGUUCCGAUGAAGUUCGGAGAGCAUUCAAGUAUUUUCGGUGCGAGUUGGGCACAAAAACGGAACUCAAAAAGUUAUAUUGGACUUGGCCUGAAUCCGACAAAGUACAAGUGAGAAGAUGAUUUAAACAUGCUCAAAAAAUGUGUUUUGAGGGUUUUGGAAUGUUUGGAAAUGGAUUAGAGGCUCGAGGAGCGAAAAUGAGCAUUUUCGAAAAAUACUGAAAUUUUGGGGCUGUUGGACCUAUGGGGUCCGGACCCUAGAGCCAAGGUUAGGACCCCGCACGCGUGGGUAGCUCAGAAUGAGGGCAUUUUGGUAAAUUGAAGGCAUGGGCUUAUAAAGGAGAACCCUUCCUUCUCAUUCUUCCUUAGCCAACACAAAACACACACACACUUGAGAGAGAGAGAGAGAACCUCUCUUUUCUCUCUCUAGCUUCCUCUCUUUCCCUCUCUAAAUCUCUCUCCCAAACUUGGGUUUUGGUGGAGAGCGAGCUCGGGAACGCGUGGGGAGUGAUGGAUCGAGCCCUCAAGCGCUAGGUGGUGCGGCGUGCCUUCGACUCGAGGUUCGCAUUUUGUUAAGAGUUGAGGAUUUUGGUUAAAUCAUUUUUGAAUGGUAUUCUAGAGAUCUCUAGAUUAUUCUAGGCAUGUUGCUCCAUAAAUUUUGGGAUAUUUGGAGAAAUGGGAAAAGCUAGGGUUUGGAAAUUAGGGGUUUUGGGGUUUAUGGGUUUUGAAUCUAAUUGAUCUCCUAAUUAUCAAAUUGAAGGUUAGAGGAGAGCCCCAAACAACUCUAGGUUGGAAAUUGGUGAGCGCUCGGUAAUCGAUUGCGAGUUUGAGCCGAACCGAGCAAUUUAUGCUGCGGGAGCGCGAUUGCAAGUGUCGACAAGCAAUCGAAAAGUAUUGUUAGGUGGGUUGUGUUUCACCGAAGUGAUUAGGUCACUUCCAUGCCAAAGAGUGAAGUAUGGUUGUAUUAUUGAUGCAUGUAAUGGUAGUUUAAAUGCAAUGGUGAAUGCAUGAGAUAGAUGCUAUGUAUUGACUACCAUUGAAUGAUGAGAACAUAGGCAUGUGGACAUAUAGGAUAUGUAUAUAUGAAUGCCUAGAUGUGGAUAGUAAAUAUAGGUCGAUGAACUCUAGGAAAAGUAGAGAACUCGACAAGUGUGGCAUGUAAACUAUGGAUCCUAAGUGUGGACAAAUAGGAAAACAAAUAGCAUGAGUGGCAUCAAACCUAAUGUCAUUGAAUAUAGGUGGAGCAUUGAACCUAGAGGCAAGUAAAUCUAGGUGGAAAUGACAUAGAGCCUAUCGUGGUUGUACCUAGGUUAUGAGAUGUAGUGGCAUUGAACCUAGUGUGGUUAAACCUAGGUUGUGGACUAUAGUGGUAGAGUGGCCACUAGGAUAUGCGUGAGUUGAACCUAGAGAGGUCGACAUUGUAGGGUAUAUGAGUAACCCUUGAGAGUUGAAAGGUGGAUUUCGGAAUCCCUAGGAAUUGAGGUUGCGAGUACAUGUGGUUCUCCUUGCUCGGCAGCAGUUGAGUCUUGCGACUAAGCGCAAGUGAAUCAUAACUGCGGGUAUGUGUGGUUCUCCUCGCCCGAUAGUGAUUCAACGGGUAUGUAUGGUUCUUUUCACCCGGUAUGAGAUUGUUGAGACGGGUAUGUGUGGUUCUCCUCGCCUGUUGAGCUUGAGUGACUUGUGGUAUGGGGUUCGAUAGUAUCUCCUCACCCUGUGGAAGACCUAUAGUCGAGUGGAUUUAAGGCUGAGGUGCAUGUGAGACGUCCUUCACUUCGAGCCUGACUGAGCGCGGUAUUCCGCAGAUGAUUGAUGCAAAACCGAGUCGGGUGGCAUAGUUAGCUAAGAUAAAGGAAACCUUAGGUGAAAGGCAAGUGAUAGAGAAUGGCCAAUGAUAUACAGUGGUAAAUGGAUGAGUUGUGGAUAGUGAGAUAGAAAGUAGAAUCAGUAAAUCUACUUGCAUGAAUCGCAUACUGCAUGUUGUGAGGCAUACGUAUGUAUUUAAUACUUGCAUAAAUUAUAUGUGGAUAUAUGUUGGUCUAACAUGUUGAUUUGCCUCAUUUGAACCUGGUGGGUUGAGCUAUUCCCUUGGGUGGCCAUACCCAUUGAGAACUAUUUAUAUAGUUCUCACCCCACGUUUUUCAGGUACACACGCGAGCGGCGCGUCGGUGCGAGGAAAGGGCGUAGCUCCGUAGAUAGCCCUACCACUGUGACCAGAGAUAGCAGUAUUGUAAGGACUGAGAUUUGGCAGAGUAGCUAAACUCUCUGUUGAUGAUGUUUUUGUGUGUAUUUUAAUUACAAAAGUACUCGUCAAGUUUCAAGGAAAAACAAGUUUGAAUGGAGAAGUUACGCAACUUUUAGUUUUCACUUAAAUUGAAUAGUAACCUGGGUUUUCGGAGAGGCUAAAGUGUAAGAGUUGGCUUCUGGCGCGUAUCGGACUCUGUUCAUAACGAUCCAAUAGCUCGUUUUCAAUGGUUCGGCUAUUCUGGAACCAUUGGCGCUGACGGAUUUUAGGUUUGACGCACGAAUUUUGAGAAAUCUGGAAAUACGUAUUUAUAUGUAUUUGUGUGUAGUUUCGCCAGUUGGAGAGAGAGGAUAGAUUUUGUCGCAAAUCCGUGACCAAACGAGGCGAAACAAAAUCAUGACUUUGAUGUCUCUGUUGUCCUAAUCGCACUGGUGUGAUCCGUUCGCAAAUCCGACGGACGGAUCUCCGGAUAUCGCGCGUUGACCGAGAAGGGGCCUUGGAUGGCAAAAUGGUAAUUUUGCGAAAAGCGCGAACAUUUUAUGUACCGUUUUGCGUGAAAUUGAAUGUGGGGGUGUGUUCGCUCGUUUUACUCACGCUGUGAGGGACUCAGUGUUAAAUACUGAAGUUUGGUGGGCUAACUCGCAACUUUACACCUUCUUUAUAUAUAGCUUACCUAAGGCUUGCCCCAUGCAAACCCAAACUAGCCCCAGCUGACCCCCUAGCCGCUUCUCUUCCCCUCACCUCGUGUGCCGCGCGCCUCCCGGUCGCCGUCGAUCGAGCCCCGGCCGGCCAGCCAUAGCCAUUGCCAUCUUCCCUUUCCAUCUCUCUCUCUCUCUCUCUCUCUCUCUCUCUCUCUCUCUUCCCUUUUCACUCGAGUUGAGAAGAGGUUCGAGGCUACAUUGCCUCCUCGCUCUCUCUACCGACGUCGCCCCGAUCUCCGGCGACUCCCCCGCCGGUCGCCGCCGCCCCUGCGGGCUGCCGCCGCCGCCUUGACAGAUUGCGACUGCCCCAGGUCUGCUCAGGCCGAGCAGACCUUGCAACUUCUUCCCCGCGCCGCCGCCGCCCUGGGCCACCCCUGGGGCAUCCUUCUUACCUUAGGUGGUCAGUCGCUGCCGCCCCGAGCCGCCUCGAGCACUGCCGCCGCACUGCAGCCGCCCUGCGGGUUCCAUGGGCAAGCUCGAUCCGAGCUGAGCUCGCACUCCUCCCCCGCGCCGCCGUCACUCAGAGCCACCCACGCAGCACCUCUCCGGCCUCAGGCGAUCCCCCGCCAUCCCCCUUGGGAACCCUGCCGGCCGCAGUGGCCGCCGCCGCUCCUGGACUCGAGCCCUAGCCCGUGCGGGCUCAGGUUGCUCCGCCGCCUGCCGGUGCGAUCCCUGGCCUCCCCACGUCGGCCGCACCCAUUGGCCGCCGGUGCACCCGCCGUCGAGCCGCCGCCAGCCGUACCCUAGCUCUUGCUGCUCCGAUAAGCUUAGUCUAGGGCUUUUGAUUAUUGUUCUGGGUUGCGCACACUUUUCCGGCGAUCUGAGGCUGUCUCGAUGCCUCCGGAGGUGAGCACGGUGAUCAUUCGUCAGUGUUGAUCACAGUGCUCACCUCACUUUGGAUCAGAGGCUUCCAAAAUUGCGUUUUCGGCGCGGUUUUCCCCGAGUGCGCGCUGUUCGCUGAAUAUUUCGGUUGCUCCCGCACCUCCCACGGUGAGCCGUUGUGCUCCGGAUCAUGAGCACGCCCUCCGGUACAUCGAGACCUGUCAGUACGUGUCUCGGCGGAUCUCGGAAGUCCUUGGUUUGCGUUAACGAGCCACAAAGUCACCUUAUUUACAUAAAAUAGUGGAAUUUUAUGUAAAUAGAGGGACUUUUAUGCAAUUUUACAUCAUGUGGCUACUGUAGGCUAUAUGUCUGUGAGGUAGUUGACCUCUGGACUGAUCGUCCAAGGCCCGUUCGCCUUUGUGGAAAUCAGAGGUCGAGUUCGGUGCGUUUUUCUACAAAAUUCGCCGACGGAAUGCGGUUUCGGUUCGGAUUUCAUCCGACAGUAUUUGAUUGCUCUGAGAGUUGUCGCUGAGCUUUGUCGGCUAGUCACCAUCGUCAUAUCGUGGAUUCAGAGAUGACGGGUGAGCGACGGUGGGUUCCGGUGUCGAAAUUGACACUUCCGAGAACCCGGAUCCGAACAAUUAUCUGACGAUAAUUGUUUGUUUGUGUUACCUUGUGUUUGCUGCCAAGACAUCCAAAUAGAUGUGUUUUGUGGCAGCGGGUGACUCGUGGCACGAGUCUCUGAGUUUCGGAACACUUAGUAGGUCCCGACGGCGUCCUGGUGUGAUUUUCGGGACUUCCGGCGAGUUACGGUGAUCGAUUUUGGGAAACCGAUUUUGGGGGACUUGUGUGCGGUUUGUAAGUUGUGUACUUUGGGUUUGUGGGUUGGAUACUGACCCGGUGGAUCUUCGUAGGUCCGAUUGACUGUUGCGCACCCAGUUUUACGACGCGAUAGUGACAGGUGGGUGCUGCGAGCUGGUAGUCGGUGAGAUCGUUUUACUUUUCUCUGUUAUUUCAUAUCAGUAUUGUAGUUUCUACAUGUCGGUUGCUUUUGCUUAUCGUUCGUUCAUCUAUACUUGUUGUUUGCAUGAUGAUAGUCGUUGUUAGACAUGUAGAGCAGGCUUGCAUAUGUUGUAUAUUUGUGGACCUUGGGUCCAGGUAACACAUCGACUCCUUUGUCAUGUGUUUCGAUCUAGUUGAUCGUGGUUCGACGUUGUACGCCCUUGUAUCUGGCUUCUGCCAAGGUACCGGUCUUAUUGCCGAUUUUUGUAUUAAGCAUAUCAGCAUGAUUUAGUCACAACACUGUGUAUUCUAGACUGGUUGGUUUGGCCACCAACCAAGGGGUGUACGUAUCCGGAUAGGUCGUCGGUGGACGCAUGAAUAAAUGUUAGUGUAUGCUUUGUGACAGGCUAGGCUUGAGAUCUGCGGAUCAAUAUGGCAGCACCAGAUUGGAUUUGAUUUUGGAUUAUAUACCCUUGAGGCAUUUGUUUCAGUUGAGUUGUUGAUACAGUAGUAGUUGGUUCUUACUCAUUUACUAUCAUGUUUCUAGUACUACUGUAGUUGCUCUUUUAUCAUACCAUAUACAUACCUAUUGUUCUAUCUUCUUUGUUUUUCAGUGAAUACGAUUUGCCUUCGUGGCUCUGUUGUACCCACUGAGAAACUUUGAUUGUUGUUUCUCACCCCCCAUUUCCCCAGGUGACUCGGGCAAGGAGUUAGCUUUUGGACCGAUGGGAGGACGUUCUAGCUAGCCUGCAGUAGCGACCGUCACCCGGGUUACUUUUAUUUCCGCUUCUAGUAAUUUAAAUAAUUAAAUGAUUCAGUAAGAUGAUCCCUAUGAAUGUUUGAAUAUUCGUGAACUGGUUUUAGUUGAUGUUUUCAUUAUAUAUGCGAUUGGAGAUUUUGGAUAAUUGGUUUCGGAUUUAUGUAUUUAUACAUGGUGGUUUUCUACUCCUCGAGUUAGUCAGUUUUCAAAAUAGAGUUUCUGUGUGGGAAACAGUUUUAAAAGAUUUUCGAAUGGUUUUAUGGAUGCUUAAUUAGAGUUUAAAAAUCAAAGCUUCUGGGUGGGGAGCACUUUUAAAUAGGAUGCUUUUUGUACUGUGCAUUGCAUCAUCCAGUGCUUAAGGAGUGUUUAGAGGCAUGCAUCAUCUCUAAGGAUCGCUAGCUGUAUGAAAAUGCAUCACAUAAAUUGUUUGUGGAUUGGUGAAUGUAGAAUGUGGUUGUGAUCCUGAUGUAACUGUUGGUACGCCAUGCAAAUACAAAGGAGACUCUGUCCGAGUGGACAGAGGAACUUUGUAUUUGUGGCGUGUCUGUACGUCAUGUGGGCCAGGUUGAAUUAAAAAAAAAAAGGCACGUUUUUUUGCAACUCUGAUUUUAAAAAUUGUAUCCAUUACAAAAAGAUUUUUAAAUCGGCCCCGGGGCCUGACAAGUACCCCGAGUUGGUCUAGCUUAGAGGUGUGGAAAUGAAAACAAGAACCAAAUUGUUAUAAUUUGUAAUAGUUGGUUGUAUUCGGAAGGAAAAAGAAUCAAAAAUGUAAAUUGAAUGUAAAAUAAGCUGAAUGCUUGUAAUAGUUAGUACUUUAUGUUUUCGGUACUUUUUCUUAUGCAUUCAGUAUGUGAAAUUUGUUCCUGUUUCGAACCUCUUGACUUGUACUAUUGCGACGUCUUAGAUGUACAGGGAAAACUCUGUCCGUUCGGCGGUCUAUUGGCACGCUCAAAUCCGACCAAAGAGGCGGGUCUCGGGACGUGACACCAUCGGACCAACUUGUUAGGUCCAAAGGACCAAAAACCCCCUUACUAAGGUCUACACUUGCAGACCUUGGAUGGAUAGCUCUUGGGGAGAAGGGCCAAGCCUUUCUUCCCAGGAGCUCAGACCCCAAGCCCAAGGCAAUUUUGCCUUGGGGCUUGGGGUCUAGGCUGUGCUGGCCCAGUCGGCACGGCCCAAACGGGUCGUGACGUGUCGGGUCGCCAGCCUCUCCGCGGUCCAGCACGGUCAAGGCCCGUUACGAGCUGGGCUGUGCCUUGCCGGGCCGUCAGGUCGAAAAGUAUAGGCCCAACACGUCUCGAAACAUUGGGGCGAGCGGACCUAGCACAGGUGCUACAGUACCGAUGCUGUGCUGCAACCCGGCCCUAGACCGUGCCGCUUGGCCUAUUUUACAUUUCUAGAUACACUUCUUUAUAAAAAGACGAACUCCUUUGUGAAAGAAUGUCUUUCCAAUAUUUGUGAAAAGAUGUCUUUUCAUUAUUCUUGAAAAAAUGUGUCUUUUUGUGAAAAUAUAUAGCAUUAAAAGUUGUAUUCUUUCAUCGUAAUCAUUCAUUUUCUAAAAAUAGAAGAUGUUUGAAGGCUUCAAGUGUAACAUAGCUAAUCUUUUCUCUUUCUUAAUUUUUUGCAUUGAUUUUUAAGAGUGAAGUUCUUAAGAGAAAGUCUUCAAAAGUAUUAUUUACAGUCUUUCAGUGGUCUUGUUGUAAUUUGGAGUUGAUUUGCUAUUAACCCGACAACAUAUAUUCAAGUGGGGGCAAAUAUCAUCUAAAGAAAGUGUUCUACAUGUCUCAAGACCUUAAUUUACUUGAUCUCUAUAUUUAUAUUUCCCAAUGAUUUUUAAGGUGAUAUUUUUAGUGGAGACAAAUACUAAGGCGGCAUUCAAGAUGAUAAAUCAAUAUUCCAUGAAACUGAACCAAUUCGAUAGGACCAACUUCACUCGAUGGAAAGAUAAGAUGAAGUUCUUACUUAUUGCACUGAAGAUAGCCUACAUCAUCAACCCUAAUUUGCUAGAUUUUCUCGCACCUGCGGCAACAGAUACUGAUGAAGUGAGGGCAACACAUAAGAAGCACGAGGAGGAUGAACUAUUAUGCAAUAGGACACAUUCUCAAUACCAUGUCAGAUAAUUUAUGUGAUUUACUUGCAUCAAUCCAAUCACCAAGAGAGAUCUAGAAUUCUCCAGAAGCAAGAUACAAUAUUGAGAAGCAAAGGCACAAAUAAGUUUUUAAUUAUGAAGUAUUUUGAAUUUAUUAUGGUUAAUAGCUUCCAGCCCACUAUUGAAGAGGGUAUGUUGCUGUCGAUAAUUCAAACGUAGAAGACGUUUUAGCUGGUUGUCGAGGGCAUCUCCACCGAGCAUAUUGAUGAAAUUCAUAACAUUGAUCUUAUACACUCUGACAUAGAGUUGAUGUACAUCAGCGAGGAAGCAGUCGAUAGUGCAAACACGAACAUAGAUGAGGAAGUAGAUGUGCUAGAGGACGAGGGUGUGGUAGGGGGUGUGCGGAGGAGUUGAUUUACAUUUGGGUUUUUUUUUUCCAUUUUUGAAGCAUAUUUAAAUAUUUAUGUUAAUUUAUAUACUAUAUUCUUUUUUGUUAUAUUAUUUUUACUUGUGCUUAUAGGCAAUUAAAGUUGGAUUAGUUAAAUUUAAGUACGUAUUAUUGCAGUAGUAAUGCUUGAAAAAAUACUACAAUUAUAUGCUUACUGGGUAUUAGGAAAAAAAGGAAAUGGAAGUAGGAAAAAUCAAGAGAGAACGCGGUGAAUAGUUUAUCGCUUCAUGAAAGUGUUGAAUUAUUUAUUAUCUUUAUAUGCGGUGAACCAUUCAGUGCUUAUAAGUUUUUCUCCUCACUCUAGGACUUGCAUUCGCCUCAUUCAUGAGAGUACUAUAAUCUAAAAUGGAAGUGGUGAACCAUUUAUCAUUUUCAAUAAGCGGUGAACACUUUACCGCCUUUUUAUUUGACAUCUCACCCAAUCUUCUCAACUAAGUCUAGAUUUGGAAAUAAAAUUUUAACAAGCCUAAACUUGCAUUUACAAAUUUCGAGAGGACUAGUUGAUUAAAAUUUCCAAUUUGAGUUGUUGGGAAUAAAUUGAAACAUAAUAUAAAGAUUAAGAACCUACGUGCAGAAGGAAAGAGUUAGGGAUAAGGAUUACGAGGGGUUAGGGUGGGAUAGGAGGCCCUUCCGUAUCCCCGCCCAAUAGAUUUUAGAAUCCUAAUUCUUGUCAUAUCCAUGCCAAUGAAAAAAAAAAAGUUCCCGAAUCACUGUCCCCAUGGGAAUCCUGUCACGCCCCGGAUUGCACGUUCCCAGGCACGCCGACAAAUCUGCCGUAUACAAAAGAACUUUCCCUAUAUACGAAGCGAUAGCUGUACCUGUAAAACAUACAAUACUACAAACAGUAGUAUAGAGCUGUUCGAAUAAAACUAGUAAAAAUAGGAACAAGUUCCAAAUACAUACAUACGUUCAGGUACUCAAAAGCUCGCCUAGCGAGAUACAGUAACGUAUGUAAAUGAACUCAAAAACCACACUACCUGAAGAGGGUAAUCCUCUAGCUCGGCGACUCGUCGGGUAGGGAUCUAGCUCACAACGCCCUUGCCACGAUCUGCCUUAGAAGAUGCAGCAGCCGGAACCGAAUGCUCUGCAAAAAUAGGGUAACAACUGGGCGUGAAAACUACUAUAAAAAUAAGUAAUCCUCAGUGGGUACCGCCCUAAACAUCGUCGGUCUACCCACUAAGUCUACAGAAGGGAGAAAGGGUAGUAUGCAAUGCUGGACGAAACUCUACAGCUACAAGACACUACACUAUCAUGGUCUACACUAACCAACUGUAGGAAGUGACAGUCCUGACCCAAUCGAACUGGGACUGUAAGCCUACCCGUCCCUGGGACUGUGAACAUAUCUGUCCUGCCCUGCGACUAUACAGCUACCUCCACUCUAAGCAAUCCGUGGAGAGCAAGUCCAACCUGCACGAACGAUACCAACGUGAAAGCACAACGCCCGUCUUCGGAGUGGCACUCGUGGGAGCUACCCAACCGAGUAUGCAGCGUAUUUUUGUCGAGCUCAAUCAGACUCUCACAAGCCAAAGUCAAGUAACAGGGUCCAACUGGUCUAACAACCAACAGGUCACGUGCCCUCAACACAAUCUGAUGCCCAAAACGGCGAUAUGGGUCCACCGUCAACCCCGACGGCACCCAACAGUCCAGAACAGUCUGAACGCUACUGUAAAAAUACACUCGGCAUUCCAGCACGAGCGUAACAGCUAAUCUAAACUACCUGGGGUAUCCACCACACUGAUACUGUGGUGAUACAAAAUAACAACGGCUCCUAGACAUAAAUCAGGUAGUUUAAGCAUGUGACAGGUUCAAAUCGCAGGUUUCCUCCUAAGUUAUAUCCAAGUCCAACAUGUGUAAAUACUUAGUCACUGUACUAAGCUCCAAUUCAGAUUCUACAGUUAAACAUGCCAAAAUCCAUGAAUCGAGCAAUUUCUAUCAACGAAACAACAUAACAACACAUGUCGACAAUCUAUAUACUUACAAGAUAACCGACGAUUAACCCACCUCAAAAGCUAAUCCCAAUCCGGCGCGACGUCGAGAACGGCAGAAUCGCACCCUAGCCCAGCCUCCUCGCAAUGUUAAGACGACGAAGACACGCUCGAACGGCACUGCGGCGUGACGUCGACGACACCCGAACUCCAACCGAGCUCCUCCAACACGUACGAUCGAGCACAAGGAGAAGAGAGAGAGAGCACUAUAAACAUCUCCUCUCUGUUCUCUCAAUCCUAUAUAGGGGGGAGAAGGGAUGGUGAUACAAUCAAGGCAAGAGAAUUACCAAAAAGCCCCUUACCUAUCUUGGUGUACCGGUACACGGGCAGUUGUACCGGUACAAAUGGCAACCUGAGAGCAGCUAUGUAAAAUCCUGGCGAAGUGUACCGGUACGCCCCUGCUGGUUGUACCGGUACAGAAAGUGUACCGGUACGCCUUGAUGGUUGUACCGGGACAACAAGCAGAAAAUCUGCAAUUUGCAGAUUUUCAAAGCUAAGUCCUGCGCUCGCCUCCCCGCUGAGUCUGUUUUGCGUCUAUUUCGCGCCAACACGACUCGGACUUGUCCCGACACUCUCCAAAGCUGUCGACAAGCCUCAACAGCUGUACACCAGGGAUACCACAAAUCCCCAUUGCCACAGGAACUCCGCAGAUUUUUUUUUAAAAACUAUACUAAUUUUUUAUUUAAGAUUUAAUAAAAUUUAGUUUAAUUUAAAUUUAAAUUAAUUUAAAUUUAUCCAAUUAUUAACUUUUUUAAUGUUAAAUUAUUAGGUAUGACUCAUCAAAUUACUAAAAAUACAUUCAAUCAAAUAUUAUUUAACUAAUAAAUUAUAUAAAAAAAUAAAAUAUGUUAAAAAUUGGAUAUCCAUUAUUAAUAAAUUAAUAAUUAUAUGAUAAUACAGUAUAUUAUUUUGUGAUGAUAAAAAAUUUUGCAGGAUGAAGGCCUGUCCCCAGAAGUGGGGAGAAUCUCUCCCUCAUCCCCUACCCCAAGGGGAUAAAAUCAUCUCCAUCCUCGCCUCGAAUGGAGUGAGUCUCCACGGGACCUGAGUUCGCGAGAAAAAUUACAUUCCUAGUCAGGAACAAUUAAAAAAGGGUGAAAUUUGAGGAUUGGUGCUGAAUUAACCCCUAAAAAUUUUAGAAUAAUUAAAAAUUAGUGUAGUGGCCCGCGCGUUGCAGCUGGUAGAUACCGAUGAAGUGAGAAUUCAAAAUAAUGUCCUACGAUAUUAUAAAAAAGAGAAAGGAUUAGAGACAUUCUUUUCAAAUUUAUUUAGUUGACUAGUGCAGUAACAUAAACUUUAUAGUGAGUAGGUGCUAUUAUAAAUCUAAAGAUACAAGUCUACUAAGCAAAUAUAAAAUAAAAUGUAAGAAAAAAUAAUAUUCUUACUUGAUGUAUAAAUUUGGUCCAUAUUUGGGCCAGAGCCAACAUUCAUGGUAGAGGAAACAGUGAAACAACAACGCAUCGGGCAACGAGCAACAUUCAUACCAAUGACGGUCCAUCUUUAGUCAACAAGAAAAAAAAAUAAAAAAAACAGCCAAUUUGAGAAAAAGUAAUUAAAAAAAUCAGUGGAAAAUACUUUCAUAUAUUGUUGAUGAAACGAUAUAACUUAUUUAUUGUGAAUAAAGUAGAUUAUAUAUUAUGAUCAAUAUAAGAGUUUUCAAGCAUUUCUUUAUUUCUAAAAAACUUAAGCCACUAUAACGUAUUUUUCAAACUAUUUCUCUAUUUCUCUUUCCUUAAAAAAAAAAAAAAAUCAAACCAC